GAUCUAAAUCAAAUCUUUAUGUGACUGAAUGAUUAUGAAGAAACAGAAAUGCUGUUUGAAAAGGUUGCACUGCUGUUCGUGAUCUUGAAGUGGUCAUGUGAACACUGCUAAAAACCUGGUUUCGAUGUGUGAAGGAAUAUUGUGCUGGAAAAUGCUGUAAGGAAGUGUGGGUUGAACAGAAGCUGAGGAGUCUUAAGUGGAUCCCUAAUGUGCCAGAUCAUCAUCGACAUUAAUAAGAAGCAAGACGGUGAUGGACUUUAUAUAAUGUCUGAUGAAGACUCAGGGUUUUGAGAACAAAACUCUCCCACUCACUCAACCUAGCAGUGAAACAAAUGGUCGGAGACCAAGCUCAGGAGGAGUGGACAUUUGGGGCCUGCAGGACAGUGCUCUUCAUUUCAAAUGACAAACUAAAGGAGAACGUGGAAAGCUUUAGUGCGCAUCUUGUGCGUGCGGGAGUGCUAGAUUAAAGCUUAAGAAAAAGAGCUGUGAAGAUCAGCCUGUAAGACUGAGCAAGCCCCUAACUUUGAAUUUGGGCAUUUCCCUUUUCAUUACAGUGUGUCUGACAUUUCACAUGUCGCUCAACAUCAGGCUGGCCAAGGACGUCAUAAAUUUACAAAUGUGUGAACUUCUUUUAUUUAAAUUUGAGCCCGUGAUGCUGUAAGGCUGAAAAGUCUGUUUAUGGAAUCCCCUUUCAGCUUUCUGCGGCCUGAGCUCAGGGUUUGACAUUGCCCUGGAACCAGCAUGCAGGGUUGUUUACUGCUCAUUCUCCACAAGCCGGAGAAAUGCUUGGGGAGACUGAGACUCCCUGUGCUUUCUAGUAGAUCUUGGGGGCUUCAAAUAGGGGUGCAAUGACAUUUCUCUAGUGCAUGUUAGAUGCCUCUUCUCCCCACCUCCUCCUCUUCUCUCCUCUCCUCUACCUUUAGCAGUUCGCAGUUGUUACCUACUUCCUUUUGAGCUUCAACUCAGAAUGUUUCCAAAUACAGCCAGCAGAUGGAGCAAUUUACUUUAUUUAUACUUUCAUCCCGACUA